rnacentral:pre_miRNA from 1 species
UACAUACUCCCUUUGUCCGGAAAUACUUUUCAUAGGAAUGAAUGAAUCUAGAUGUAUUCUAAUUCUAGAUACAUCCAUUUUUAUUCAUUUGUGCGACAAGUAAUUCCGGACGAAGGGAUAACUAU